rnacentral:rRNA from 1 species
GGGGAAUAUUGCGCAAUGGGCGAAAGCCUGACGCAGCGACGCCGCGUGGAGGAUGAAGGUCUUCGGAUUGUAAACUUCUGUUAAGUGGGAAGAAAAAUUUGCGUUUAAUACACGCAAGGAAUGACGGUACCAUUAGAGAAAGCACCGGCUAACUUCGUGCCAGCAGCCGCGGUAAUACGAAGGGUGCAAGCGUUAUUCGGAUUUAUUGGGCGUAAAGGGUGCGUAGACGGUAUAUUAAGUCUAUUGUUAAAUCUUCUGGCCUAACCAGAAAUCUGCAGUAGAUACUGAUGUGCUAGAGGGUGGAAGAGAGAAGUGGAAUUCUCGGAGUAGCGGUAAAAUGCGUAGAUCUCGAGAGGAACACCAAUGGCGAAGGCAGCUUCUUGGUCCACACCUGACGUUGAGGCACGAAAGCGUGGGGAGCAAAC